AACGAACGCUGGCGGCAUGCCUAACACAUGCAAGUCGAACGAAGCCUUCGGGCUUAGUGGCGCACGGGUGCGUAACGCGUGGGAACCUGCCUUUAGGUUCGGAAUAACGCCUCGAAAGGGGUGCUAAUACCGGAUAAUGUCUUCGGACCAAAGAUUUAUCGCCUUUAGAUGGGCCCGCGUUGGAUUAGCUAGUUGGUGGGGUAAAGGCCUACCAAGGCGACGAUCCAUAGCUGGUCUUAGAGGAUGAUCAGCCACACUGGGACUGAGACACGGCCCAGACUCCUACGGGAGGCAGCAGUGGGGAAUAUUGGACAAUGGGCGAAAGCCUGAUCCAGCAAUGCCGCGUGAGUGAUGAAGGCCUUAGGGUUGUAAAGCUCUUUUACCAGGGGUGAUAAUGACAGUACCUGGAGAAUAAGCUCCGGCUAACUCCGUGCCAGCAGCCGCGGUAAUACGGAGGGAGCUAGCGUUGUUCGGAAAUACUGGGCGUAAAGCGCACGUAGGCGGCGCAGCAAGUCAGGGGUGAAAUCCCGGGGCUCAACCCCGGAACUGCCUCUGAAACUGCAGUGCUAGAAUCUUGGAGAGGCGAGUGGAAUUCCGAGUGUAGAGGUGAAAUUCGUAGAUAUUCGGAAGAACACCAGUGGCGAAGGCGACUCGCUGGACAAGUAUUGACGCUGAGGUGUGAAAGCGUGGGGAGCAAAC
rnacentral:rRNA from 1 species